UCUCAUUCACAGAUUUCCAAGUAUAUGUGUGUCUUCUGUUGUGGAUCACAUCCUCUAGUUUGUAAAAACAGUAAGAAAUAAAAUGCUGAUUGACACCUGGGAGCAACAGAAAUUUUAAAUUCAGGUCAUGCUUCUAUAUUCUAUAUCCUUGGGGCACAAGAAAGAGAAAACAAGCUCCUAUUAACAGCACACCCCAGAGAAGUUUUGUGUAAAGAAAAGACACUCACAAAUCCCUUAACUACAGGUGACAAAGAGCAUCUCCAA
rnacentral:lncRNA from 1 species